CUGCCCCCUCGCAGCCGCCGCCGCAGCCCGCCUGGCUUCCCGUGAGGUCUCCCUGGAAUCGGGAGUGAGAGAAGCAAACUCUGAAGUUGUGCCCGAAGAAAAGUUGCCCGACUAGAGAAGUCGGGGGGAUCCCGAGUGUCGCCACCCGCUCAAUCCUGUUUGGUCCUGGGUUCUUCCUGCUUUUUCUGCAAACCGAGCGGAAGGGCAGGGUUUGCCUAGGAAGCUUGCCGUAGUCUUAUGCAGACAAGGGGAGAAAGGAAACGACACGUCUUCAGAGCGGCACCUCGCCUUGUUCAGUCUUCUCAUCUCCUGGCCAGGGUUGGAAUGGAGGCUGAGGGCGGCUUGAGCAGUGCUGGUGCCGGCUCUCCGUAGUCGUAGCCCCUCCUAAAGAAAACACGUCUAAGCCCUCGUGGUGAAGAACCAAACCCAACAAAAGUUGGAUCUUUUUCGGAGAGGGGCCGGGGGCGCGGAGCCCUGCGACUCCGUUCGCGGAGCGCUCGACAGCGGCGGAGCGCUCGCCGCGGCUGGGACUUGACCUGCAGAGGGCAAUAGUUGGACGCAAAUGCCAACAAAGGCAGCGGGGCUCGCUGGCUCGGCGCCGCGGCCGGGACCCGAGAAUGCUGUGUAGCCCACAUUCAUCUGAGAGGCGAUCGCCGGGGACAUGGGAAGCAGGAGCAGCCGCCGAUGUGUGAAAGCAACGAGACAUGGCCAGCCAGAGGCGCCGGGGUCCCUUCACGGGGUUUGUUAACAUGGUAAUCCGGCACCAGGAGAGAAAGCUGCUUUCUGCUGCCUAGAGCCCAUUCCCCAUCACACAUCAGAUGACUCCCUGGCUUUACACACAGUUGGAGUUCUGCUCGAAACCUGGAUUUAAAGGGAAUCUGUUGCUGCGUAUGACAUCUCUCGCAAGCUCCCAGAGAGAAUUGAUGGAGCAUACAGCUAGGGAAUAGGAUACCAGAGAAGCACAGAGAAAGAAUCCAGGCAAUCACCAGGAUGGGAAGGUUCAGCGUCCACUGGAUACGGGACAAGAUCGCUUGGCAACCCUUGUGGAUUCUCCUUCUUCUGGAGGCGAAUUAUAGUUAUGGAUUUAUUGUCCCGGUGCAGCACUUCCACCAGCAGCAGCAACAGCAGCAGCUUUCUGACUCUCUUCGGUGACGGGUAUUCUUGGGUGGAUAAUACGGAUUACGUUGUUAUUGCUUAAGAAUACGCGUAGUCGAGGAGAGUACCGGCGGCGGGCAGGCAGGCAGGCAGCGCGACCGCCCCCAGCCCACCAGCUGGCUCCUCACCUCCUCUAGUUGCCAAGCCCUACAGCCCAAGUUUCCUGGACUAGCCCACCUUCCUUCCUGCCUUGCCAAAUGACUCAUGGAAAGCUGUUGAUCUUCAGUUUAUGGAGACAAUCUAACAUCAGCAACUUCCUGGGGGGCAGCUACAAGGUAGGGCCACAUCCAACUCCUUCGAGCCCUCUCACCAGCUCAGGUGUGCUACUGACAGGAAAAGCUCGUGACUCCGGCUCCAGAGAGCUACUUGUCGGCUUCCUGGAAACCCUGCAAAGCUGCCCCUGAGACAACUGGGCCUUCCAUCAGCCAGACACACAAAUCACUCACUAAAUAGUUUUGGCUGAGGUUGUUGGACAAAAUCUUCAUAGACAGAGCCAAGAGGACAGGCAAGAAAUAUUUAUCUUCUCUGUGCCACAUGUUGUUUUUUCAUAAUUUCUUCUUUUCUCCUUUUUACACUCCAGGCAUUUUUUUCUUUCUACAUAGGCUAAUAGGAAGAAAUACUGUGGCUUACUCCAGUCAUUUAGUUUAUUUGUUUUAAUUCUAAUUAUGAGCAUUCAAAUAGCAAGUGACAUUUGUUGAUAUAUGUUACACUUCUGAAACACUAGAAAAAAUAUCUGAUCUAUUCUCUGUUAAUGCCUAGGUGACAUUUUAGGAACAGGAACCACCUGGGAAGGGCAUGUGCGGGAUGGGAGCUGUCAGUGGAGUGCAUGGCCGUGAAUCUGGUUUUGAUCUGUCCCUGUGAUUUUCCAGGUGAGCCUCGGACUCUGCCUAUGGUCUGUGCUCCCAGAUGACAGCCCCAUGAUGGCAGAUGGAGGGACAUCCUGGCACUGCAUCCUUUGCUGCUCCCAGAGCUGCCACACGCCAUGGGACCCCAGCUGCUGGAUGCCUGACCCAGCUGGACUGCUGCUGGAGAUGUGCUGGGGCUGGCUCAGCCCUGCUUGCUGCUGCCUGUCUGCCUUAUCCUUCUGAGUUAUGCCCCAGCCCGCUCCUGCCCUGUUGUGCUGCUGCCUCCAGGCUGUGUUGAGUUUUCAAUUAUCACAAUAUACAGUGCAGAUGCUAUGCAAAACAGCCAGUGAGGCUGAGCACGCUGAACUCAGGAGAAUCACAGUUAAAUAAAAGUACUGCUAUGAUACCAGGAGGCUGAUUGGAACCACAAGAUACCAGUGCUGUAUCCUGUGGCUUUUAUGUUGGUAGAUGUAGAUUUCAGCCAUUAGAGUCUAGCUAUCCAACAGAUAACAACUAGAGGAAAUGGAUCUGGGUAUCUUCACUUGUGAGUAACUGAUUCACAUUUGCCAUUAAAUUCAGAACCUGGUAAACUGCAGAAGAAAGAAAACAUUUGAGAUACCUACAAAUACAUCCAGGCAUGUACUGUUGGGUAGCAUCUAACUGUGUGCAACUUAAACUCCCUGAACACAAAAUACACUUAAAGUGGUACAUCAAGAGAGCUCUGACUUCAGAGAAACAAUGUGUGGUUACUUGUCAACCCCAAAUUCAGGCACGCAAAUAACCAGCAAGGGUAGGUCUCAACUUCUCUAUUUGUACAUGCAGUAACAAGCUCCCAGAUGAUAAUGAUAUUGUGAUAUCUAUGUGGGGGUAAAAGACUAUGACGAAAGAGAAAGAAAUAAGCAAUAAAUACAAUAAUGUCAAACUUUCCUGUUAUUAACUUCUAGAAAAGCCCAACAGCUGGAAUUUUAAAAUGUUUUACAUAGACAAAUGUAAAGAGAACAACACAUCGAGUGUGGUUUUUUCCAAAGGAAAAUGAAAUAGGCAUACAGAGAAAAUUAUUAUAUUUAGUACUCUCAGGGCAAAUUCUAGUUAAGGACUACGAAAUAAUUUGAAAAUAUUAAUGAUUUAGCCUCACAGCUAGCUUUUAGGGAGAUAAUAAUGAUAAUUAUUACUGUAAAUAAAUAGUAUUAUUAUCAUUCUUAUUCAGAAGAAUGAAGUAUUGAUGCAUAGAAAAUUCCGUAUUUGUCCAAAAUACAGAAUAUAUUUGUUUGCGUUUUACUACUAUAACCAUCCUUCUCAAGAACUAUUGUAUAUAUUAGGAUUAUCCUUUUCCAAAUACUCUUUGAUAUACUGUUCAGUUUAUCAGUUCUAAAACCCAACCAACCAAGCUUCCUUGUGAAACAGUGCCAGUCAACAUCUCCAUUUGCAUGUGAAUUCUCUAGCAGCAAGUCCUGGUUAAAAAAAAAAGAAAAAAAAAAAAAAAAGGAAUCAUGAAAAUCAGUACAAAAAAAUCUGUCAAGGCCCCAUCUGUGACUGGGUAUCAGAAUAUCACCAAGAAGCUCUGAGGAACAAAGUUCAUUCCAAGUCUAACACAUAGAGGAUUUUGGUCGAUGAAAUUAAUUCAGGCAGGGAGAAAUCAGAGUGCAUACCAUGAAAAACUCUGUUCCUCCACUGAGGAUCAAAGAAAAGAGGCAUCAUUGUGUGUGGUCUUGGGUUUGGUGCACAAAGCCAUGCUUAAACACGACAAUAAUCAGCAUGCUCAUGUCUUGUUUUGAUAGCCAGCUGCUCCUCUGAGGAGAGCCAGGGAAUGAGGGACCUCUGGUCCUGGCAAGAUGAGGACUCCGAUUGCAUGUGAUUGCUGCAAAAAGCAAGAUUUACAGCCAGCUACCUGAAGCAGAAUGGAAACAAAAUCAUAGUCUCCACCCUGGCCUUGAAAAUCCCUCUACAAACAUGUUUAUUUCCUUCUGAAUGGGAAUAUGUAAAGGCUGGGGACACUUAUUUGUAGGCUAUUUUUAUAUCUCCUCUUCAGGAUCUGAAUCUUGCAUAUUAAUGAACUACAGGAAAUAGGAAAACCAAACAUUAACACCAUUCUAAUGCAGCAUACUAUUUUUCUUUCCCUUUUUUAAACUGUUAGAGUAUGCAAAUGUUCAGUUAACUGGUCCUCAUGUUUUCUCUUUAUUGAAUUGCUUUCACUAUGGCAAAUAAAUAUUCAUAAAGAAAUGUGGACAAUAAAUCAUUUCAAAUAGUUCAAAGCCA